rnacentral:rRNA from 1 species
GACGAACGCUGGCGGCGUGCUUAACACAUGCAAGUCGAACGGAAAGGCCCUGCUUUUGUGGGGUGCUCGAGUGGCGAACGGGUGAGUAACACGUGAGUAACCUGCCCUUGACUUUGGGAUAACUUCAGGAAACUGGGGCUAAUACCGGAUAGGAGCUCCUGCUGCAUGGUGGGGGUUGGAAAGUUUCGGCGGUUGGGGAUGGACUCGCGGCUUAUCAGCUUGUUGGUGGGGUAGUGGCUUACCAAGGCUUUGACGGGUAGCCGGCCUGAGAGGGUGACCGGCCACAUUGGGACUGAGAUACGGCCCAGACUGCUACGGGAGGCAGCAGUGGGGAAUAUUGCACAAUGGGCGGAAGCCUGAUGCAGCAACGCCGCGUGCGGGAUGACGGCCUUCGGGUUGUAAACCGCUUUCGCCUGUGACGAAGCGUGAGUGACGGUACUGGGUAAAGAAGCACCGGCUAACUACGUG